UCCAUCGGUAGCUUGCUAUCCAUGGUGAGAGUGGCGCACGGGUGCGUAACGCGUGAGCAACCUGCCUCCAUCAGGGGGAUAGCCUCUCGAAAGAGAGAUUAACACCGCAUAACAUAUUUUACCGGCAUCGGACGAAUAUUAAAUAUUUAUAGGAUGGAGAUGGGCUCGCGUGACAUUAGCUUGUUGGUGGGGUAACGGCCCACCAAGGCGACGAUGUCUAGGGGCUCUGAGAGGAGAAUCCCCCACACUGGUACUGAGACACGGACCAGACUCCUACGGGAGGCAGCAGUAAGGAAUAUUGGUCAAUGGGCGGAAGCCUGAACCAGCCAUGCCGCGUGCAGGAUGACUGCCCUAUGGGUUGUAAACUGCUUUUGUCCGGGAAUAAACCUCCUUACGAGUAGGGAGCUGAAUGUACCGGAAGAAUAAGGAUCGGCUAACUCCGUGCCAGCAGCCGCGGUAAUACGGAGGAUCCGAGCGUUAUCCGGAUUUAUUGGGUUUAAAGGGUGCGUAGGCGGCCUGUUAAGUCAGGGGUGAAAUACGGUGGCUCAACCAUCGCAGUGCCUUUGAUACUGACGGGCUUGAAUCCAUAUG
rnacentral:rRNA from 1 species